UCAAGCGAAGAGGGGCGUACGGUGGAUGCCUAUGAAGGAGCCGCACGGCGAAGAAGGCCGUGACAAGCUGCGAAAAGCCACGGGGAGGAGCACAUAUCCUGAGAUCCGUGGAUGGCCGAAUGGGGUAACCCGGCUGCGGAAGCAGUCAGCGCUGCGUGAACAAACUAGCGUAGUGCGGCGAUACCCAGGGAACUGAACCAUCUCAGUACCUGGAGGAGAAGACAUCAAAAGAGAUUCCCACUAGUAGCGGCGAGCGAACGGGGAAGAGCCCAAACCUAUGUCAGCGUAAUAAGUGCACGCUGUUGCUGGCAGGGGGUAGAUGGUCCAAGUUGGAGGGACGUGCAGGACCUCGCGGAGGAGAGAAAGCGUCUUGGCAAGGGGAACGGCAUGGGAAGGCCGGCCAGAGAGGGUGAGAGCCCCGUACCUGAAAGCUUAAAGGCGGCUUCGUGGACUUGGAACCUAAGUACGGCGAGGCUCGAGAAACCUUGUCGGAAGCAGGGUCGACCACGAUCCAAGGCUAAAUACGAUGCGGCUACCGAUAGUGCACAAGUACCGUGAGGGAAAGGUGAAAAGAACCCCGGUGAGGGGAGUGAAAGAGAACCUGAAACCAUACGCCCACAACAGGUCGGAGCAGAGCGUAAGCUUUGUGACGGCGUGCCUUUUGUAGAAUGAGCCUGCGAGUUACGGUAUGCAGCGAGGUUAAGGAGUUGGAGCUCUGGAGCCGGAGGGAAACCGAGUCUGAUAAGGGCGAAUAGUUGCAUGUCGUAGACCCGAAGCCAGGUGAUCUUAUUACGAGCAGGUUGAAGCUUGAGUAAAAUCAAGUGGAGGACCGAACUCUAGUGUAAUGAAAAACGCAGGGAUGACUCGUGAUAAGGGGUGAAAGGCUAAUCAAACCUGGAAAUAGCUGGCACUCCCCGAAAUGCCUUGAGGGACAGCCUUAUACAAAUGUCAUGGAGGUAGAGCACUGUUUGGACUAGGGGUCUUCACCGGCUACCAAACCCAGGCAAACUACGAAUGCCAUGACACAACGUAUAGGAGUGAGACUGUGGGCGAUAAAGUUCAUAGUCGAGAGGGGAACAGCCCAGACCGACAGCUAAGGUCCCAAAAUGCCGCUAAGUGUGAAAUGAGGUGUUAUUGCGAAGACAGCCAGGAGGUUGGCUCAGAAGCAGCCAUUCCUUAAAAGAGUGCGUAAUAGCUCACUGGUCGAGCAAUGAUGCGCAGACAAUGUAACGGGGCUUAAGCGGUAUACCGAAGCUUCGGAUUCAUGCCGUAAGGUAUGGAUGGUAGGGGAGCAUUCCAUGGACCGGAGAAGGUGCACUGUAAGGUGUGCUGGAGGGGAUGGAAGAGAGAAUGCAGGUAUAAGUACACGAAAAGACGGGUGAGAUUCCCGUCCGCCGAAAACCUAAGGUUUCCUGGGUAAAGGUCAUCUGCCCAGGGUUAGUCGGACCCUAAGAUGAGGCUGAAAGGCGUAGUCGAUGGGAAGCUGGUUCAUAGUCCAGCACCAUGCAAAGACACGAAGGGAUGACGCAUGAGGUGAAACCCGGCCGGAGAACGGUUGUUCCGGUCGAAGCAGUAAGCCUAGUGAAGCGUACAGGCAAAUCCGUAUGCGGAAGGUGAGCUGUGACAGCGAGUGGAGCUACGGCGAAGCGAAGCGGGCGUAAUCAAGGUGCCAAGAAAGAGUCUCUAAGGUUAAUCUUUGCAUGACCGUACCGUAAACGGACACACGUAGGUGGGAUGAGAAAUCUAAGGCGCUCGAGAUAACUCGCGUUAAGGAACUCGGCAAAAUGCACACGUAACUUCGGGAGAAGUGUGGCCUACUGGAAGGUAGGUUGCAGAGAGCAGGCCCAGGCGACUGUUUACCAAAAACACAGGACUCUGCGAACGCGCAAGCGGACGUAUAGGGUCUGACGCCUGCCCGGUGCUGGAAGGUUAAGAGGAGGGGUCAGCCGCAAGGCGAAGCUCUGAAUCGAAGCCCCAGUAAACGGCGGCCGUAACUAUAACGGUCCUAAGGUAGCGAAAUUCCUUGUCGGGUAAGUUCC
rnacentral:rRNA from 1 species